AUGGGAAAUGGCGAUGACGAGAAGGUGGAAGGCCUCCACCACGCCCGGCAGCCCCCGCACGGCGAGUCUUCCUCUUCCUCCUCCUCCUCCUCCCCCUCCUACCGACACGCCACGAAGCGCCGACGCGCGCACGGCGCCGCAGCAGCCAUGGCCGACCGCUUCUUCCCCAACGACCUCCCCGACUUCGUCGCCGAGGCACCCGACGGCGGCGACCCUCCCGCCGCCGGGCUCCGCGGCCUGCUCUCGCUCCCCUACCCCAGGCUCUCCGACCGGCUCCUCCGCGCCGCCCUCCGGCUCAAAGACAAGGUCGUGCAAGAGACAUGGACUAGGACGGGGGGCCAUGUGACGGACUACACGCUCUACACGGGCGCGCUCGGGACGGCGCUCCUGCUGUUCAAGUCCUUCCAGGUCACCGGCGACCGCCGUGAUCUCAACCUCGCCAGCGAGAUCGUCCAAGCCUGCGAUGCCGCGUCGCUUGGCCUGCCGCGCAGGUUCUUGACUUUCAUAUGUGGGAGGGCCGGCGUCUGCGCUCUCGGAGCAGUGAUUGCAAAGCAUUGCAAUGAUCAGUUGAUGGAGACCAACUUUCUGAGCUCGUUUGAUGAGAUAAUUAUCACAGAGAAAGUUCCAAAUGAGCUGCUGUAUGGAAGGGCGGGUUAUUUGUGGGCUUGUUUGUUCCUGAAUGAGCAUCUCAGUGACAAGACAAUUCCUGCCGAACACAUUAGUUCUGUGGCAAAGGACAUAAUUAUGGAGGGAAGGAAGCUGUCGAACAAGGGGAGCUGCCCGCUGAUGUAUGAGUGGCAUGGGAAGAAGUACUGGGGUGCUGCCCAUGGACUCGCUGGAAUCAUGCAUGUUCUCAUGCACACUGAAUUGAAGCUGGAUGAGCAGGAUGACGUGAAGAAUACUCUGCGGUACAUGAUCAGUAACCGGUUUCCAAGUGGAAACUACCCCUCGAGUGAAGACAGCGAAUCCGAUCGCCUGGUGCAUUGGUGCCAUGGUGCCCCUGGUGUUGCUCUUGCACUUGCUAAGGCAUAUCAGGUCUUCCAAGAUGAUCACUUCAAGCAGUCCGCUGCAGAGGCUGCUGAAGUUGUCUGGAACCGUGGUCUUCUCAAGCGAGUUGGAAUAUGCCACGGUAUAAGCGGGAAUGCCUAUGUAUUCCUCUCACUUUAUAGGCUAACCGGCAAUGUUGAGUACCUCUACCGGGCUAAGGCUUUUGCUUGCUUUCUGCUUGAAAAUGCUGAUCGAUUGAUUGCUGAGGAGGCCAUGCAUGGUGGUGACCGUCCGUUUUCAUUGUUUGAAGGAAAGGCUGGGAUGGCGUAUCUCCUUUUAGACAUGGUUAACCCCUCGGAAUCAAGGUUCCCCGCCUAUGAACUUUGA
rnacentral:rRNA from 1 species